UUGCCCAAUGAUUAAGAAAAGACGCGUUAUUACGAGGACUACAGCUGGGACUCCUCUUUCCCCUCUCUAUUGCUUCCUGCUUUUACCUGUGCCCUCUCCCCUCCCUCCCCCCUCUUCACCACUGUUUCCUUUCUUGGAGUACCCAGUGUCCUUUGAGCAAGAUUAUGAGAUCUGAGGGCGC